CGAGCGGCGGACGGGUGAGUAAUGCCUGGGAAAUUGCCUUGAUGUGGGGGAUAACCAUUGGAAACGAUGGCUAAUACCGCAUAACGCCUUCGGGCCAAAGAGGGGGACCUUCGGGCCUCUCGCGUCAAGAUAUGCCCAGGUGAGAUUAGCUUGUUGGUGAGGUAAGAGCUCACCAAGGCGACGAUCUCUAGCUGGUCUGAGAGGAUGAUCAGCCACAUUGGGACUGAGACACGGCCCAAACUCCUACGGGAGGCAGCAGUGGGGAAUAUUGCACAAUGGGCGCAAGCCUGAUGCAGCCAUGCCGCGUGUAUGAAGAAGGCCUUCGGGUUGUAAAGUACUUUCAGCAGUGAGGAAGGGGUAACGUUGAAUAGACGUUAUUCUUGACGUUAGCUGCAGAAGAAGCACCGGCUAACUCCGUGCCAGCAGCCGCGGUAAUACGGAGGGUGCGAGCGUUAAUCGGAAUUACUGGGCGUAAAGCGCAUGCAGGUGGUCUGUUAAGUCAGAUGUGAAAGCCCGAGGCUUAACCUCGGAAUUGCAUUUGAAACUGGCAGGCUAGAGUACUGUAGAGGGGGGUAGAAUUUCAGGUGUAGCGGUGAAAUGCGUAGAGAUCUGAAGGAAUACCAGUGGCGAAGGCGGCCCCCUGGACAGAUACUGACACUCAGAUGCGAAAGCGUGGGGAGCAAACAGGAUUAGAUACCCUGGUAGUCCACGCCGUAAACGAUGUCUACUUGAAGGUUGUGGCCUUGAGCCGUGGCUUUCGGAGCUAACGCGUUAAGUAGACCGCCUGGGGAGUACGGUCGCAAGAUUAAAACUCAAAUGAAUUGACGGGGGCCCGCACAAGCGGUGGAGCAUGUGGUUUAAUUCGAUGCAACGCGAAGAACCUUACCUACUCUUGACAUCCAGAGAA
rnacentral:rRNA from 1 species